rnacentral:rRNA from 1 species
GAUGAACGCUAGCUACAGGCUUAACACAUUCAGGUCGAGGGGUAACGAGAGGAAAGCUUGCUUUCCUUGUCGACGACCGGCGCACGGGUGAGUAACGCGUAUCCAACCUGCCCCCAACUAGGGAAUAACCUUGCGAAAGUAAGACUACUACCCUAUAAUUUCCUCAGAUGUCAUCUGACGAGGAAUAAAGAUUUAUCGGUGGUGGAUGGGGAUGCGUCUGAUUAGCUUGUUGGCGGGGUAACGGCCCACCAAGGCAACGAUCAGUAGGGGUUCUGGGAAGAAGGUCCCCCACAUUGGAACUGAGACACGGGCCAAACUCCUACGGGAGGGAGCAGUGAGGAAUAUUGGUCAAUGGGCGGAAGCUUGAACCAGCCAAGUAGCAUGCAGGAUGACGGCCCUAUGGGUUGUAAACUGCUUUUAUACAGGAAUAAAGUUGGCCACGUGUGGUUAUUUGUAGGUACUGUAUGAAUAAGGACCGGCUAAUUCCGUGCCAGCCGCCGCCGUAA